rnacentral:rRNA from 1 species
ACAUGAAGCUGGAAUCGCUAGUAAUCGCAGAUCAGAAUGCUGCGGUGAAUACGUUCCCGGGUCUUGUACACACCGCCCGUCACACCAUGAGAGUUGGCAAUACCCAACGUACGUGAUCUAACCCGCAAGGGAGGAAGCGUCCUAAGGUAGGGUCAGCGAUUGGGUGAAGUCGUAACAAGGUACC